CUUUAAGAUCUGGGACGAGGGUUUGGCCGAGGUGGCUCAAAGGUGGAGCAAUCAAUGUCAGAAUGCUUACGAUCAAUGCAGAAACGAUGCAUCUGACGGAUACGUUGGACAAAAUGUAGUCUGGGUGGCUUCGACCGGAGAAGCUGGCAUCAAACCCGAGGACGCAGUCCAUGCGUGGUACAGAGGAGUGAAGGACUUCGACAGAAACCAAGUUUCUCGAUUGACAAGACAGAACUUUGAGAAGGUGGGUCUCUAUACUCAAUUGGUAUGGGCGAAUUCGUAUAGACUCGGUUGCGGGAAGAUCAUAUACAAGGCG